AUAACAAUACAGGACUCUUUCGAGGCCCUGUAAUUGGAAUGAGUCCGCUUUAAAUCCUUUAACGAGGAUCUAUUGGAGGGAAGUCUGGUGCAGAGCCACUGACCCAUGCGUGCUGCAGCUCAAA